CAGGGUUCCUUGCUAUGUGAAGUGCGGAUUGGCUGUCACAAUACACAUCAAAUGGGAUCAGACAUGGUACUGUUCAGGUGGACAGUCUCAGCAGUGUCAGUGAUCUCUGAGUACCUUGAUCUACACCUCCAUAGUUGCUGAGUCCUCAAGACUCAAUAUUUCUAUGAAUCAACCUGAAAUCCAUGAAGGCAGUUCAAAGAGAAGUUUCACAUCAAUGUUGGAGUCACAGGAGAUCGAUGCAACUGAUGACUCCAUAGGUCAAAAAAAUAACGAAUCGAAAGGAUGACAGGAUGAAGUUUCAUUGCUCUUGUAGAAUAGACACCAUCAAUCUUGGUUCAUACUUCAUACAUAUGUUAAAUUAGUGAACUGUAUACAACAUAUAUAGGCGACAUCCAAUUAGAAACUUUUGAGAAAAGUUUAAAAUUGUUUCAAAGCACCAUAUGUUACAAUAAAAGUUUUUCCCUUUGGUACUCUACUGUUAAGAUUGGUUGUAUGCUGAAGCGUUCUCCUGAAUUCUGAUGUGGAAGUAUAAAUACUACUAUUAGCAAAUUCGUUGUUAUGAUGGUUGAAUGACAAGACAAGAUAUCUUUUGUAACAA